UGCCUGUACCAUAACCGACACAGGUGGGUAGGUAGAGUAUACUAAGGGGCGCGAGAUAACUCUCUCUAAGGAACUCGGCAAAAUGACUCCGUAACUUCAGGAGAAGGAGUGCCUUAUUUAUAAGGUUGCAAUAACAAGAUCCAAGCAACUGUUUAUCAAAAACACAGGUCUCCGCUAAGUCGUAAGACGAUGUAUGGGGGCUGACGCCUGCCCAGUGCCAGAAGGUUAAAGAAGUUGGUUAGUGUAUGCGAAGCUGAUGACUGAAGCCCUGGUGAACGGCGGCCGUAACUAUAACGGUCCUAAGGUAGCGAAAUUCCUUGUCGGGUAAGUUCCGACCCGCACGAAAGGCGUAAUGAUUUGGAUACUGUCUCGGAGAGAGGCUCGGUGAAAUAGACUUGUCUGUGAAGAUGCGGACUACCUGCACCAGGACAGAAAGACCCUAUGAAGCUUUACUGUAACUUGAAAUUGGAAUUGGACUUUGCUUGCGCAGUAUAGGUGGGAAGCGUUGAAGAUAUUCUUGCGGGAGUAUUGGAGCUAUCAGUGAGAUACCACUCUUGUAAUGCUAGAUUUCUAACUUUGAACCAUAAUCUGGUCAAAGAACAGUUUCAGGUGGGCAGUUUGACUGGGGCGGUCGCCUCCCAAAUGGUAACGGAGGCGUACAAAGGUUUCCUCUGAACGGAUAGAAAUCGUAUCUAGAGUGUAAAGGCAUAAGGAAGCUUGACUGUGAGACCUACAAGUCGAGCAGGGACGAAAGUCGGUCUUAGUGAUCUGACGGUACUGAGUGGAAAGGCCGUCACUCAACGGAUAAAAGUUACUCUAGGGAUAACAGGCUGAUCUCCCCCAAGAGUUCACAUCGACGGGGAGGUUUGGCACCUCGAUGUCGGCUCAUCGCAUCCUGGGGCGGUAGUACGUCCCAAGGGUUGGGCUGUUCGCCCAUGAAAGCGGUACGCGAGCUGGGUUCAGAACGUCGUGAGACAGUUCGGUCCAUAUCCGGUGUAGGCGUUAGAAUAUUGAGAGGAGCCUUCUUUAGUACGAGAGGACCGAGAAGGACACACCGCUGGUGUACCAGUUAUCGUGCCAACGGUAAACGCUGGGUAGCUAUGUGUGGAGUGGAUAACCGCUGAAAGCAUCUAAGUGGGAAGCCCACCUCAAGAUUAGUAUUCCCAUGGCGUUAGCCAGUAAGGUCACGGGCAGAACACCCGUUGAUAGGCUCUACGUGGAAGCCGGGCAACCGGUGAAGCGGAGGAGUACUAAUAGGCCGAGGGCUUGAC
rnacentral:rRNA from 1 species